rfam:Mesocricetus auratus contig142363, whole genome shotgun sequence.
GAGUGUGUGAUGUGUGCACUGAGCUCCCUAAUCUAUACAGGCUUCUGUUAUGGAGGUGGUGGCCAGUCCUGGUGUCUGAAUGAUU